rnacentral:misc_RNA from 1 species
UAAGCUCUACACAACAUCCCA